UCAACUUGCCGACAAUCAAUUUUCGGGGAAGAUACCUGAUUUUAUUCAAAGUUGGACAAAUCUUCAGCAACUAGUAAUUCAAGGGAGUGGGCUUAGUGGGCCAAUUCCUUCCGGGAUUUCAGUUUUGGAACACUUAUAUGACUUGAGAAUAAGUGAUCUGAAUGGAGAUGAAAAUUCAUCUUUUCCUCAACUUAAAAAUAUGUCAAUGAAAA